rnacentral:rRNA from 1 species
UACAGAGGGGGCAAGCGUUGUUCGGAAUUACUGGGCGUAAAGGGCGCGUAGGCGGCCUGUUAAGUCGAACGUGAAAUCCCCGGGCUCAACCCGGGAACUGCGUCCGAUACUGGCAGGCUUGAAUCCGGGAGAGGGAUGCGGAAUUCCAGGUGUAGCGGUGAAAUGCGUAGAUAUCUGGAGGAACACCGGUGGCGAAGGCGGCAUCCUGGACCGGCAUUGACGCUGAGGCGCGGAAGCCAGGGGAGCAAACGGG